GACGAACGCUGGCGGCGUGCCUAAUACAUGCAAGUAGAACGCUGAAGAGAGGAGCUUGCUCUUCUUGGAUGAGUUGCGAACGGGUGAGUAACGCGUAGGUAACCUGCCUUGUAGCGGGGGAUAACUAUUGGAAACGAUAGCUAAUACCGCAUAACAAUGGAUGACACAUGUCAUUUAUUUGAAAGGGGCAAUUGCUCCACUACAAGAUGGACCUGCGUUGUAUUAGCUAGUAGGUGAGGUAAUGGCUCACCUAGGCGACGAUACAUAGCCGACCUGAGAGGGUGAUCGGCCACACUGGGACUGAGACACGGCCCAGACUCCGACGGGAGGCAGCCGUAGGGAAUCUUCGGCAAUGGGGGCAACACUGACCGAGCAACGCCGCGUGAGUGAAGAAGGUUUUCGGAUCGUAAAGCUCUGUUGUAAGUCAAGAACGGGUGUGAGAGUGGAAAGUUCACACUGUGACGGUAGCUUACCAGAAAGGGACGGCUAACUACGUG
rnacentral:rRNA from 1 species